ACGUACACAUCCAAGGAAGGCAGCAGGCGCGCAAAUUACCCACUCCCGGCUCGGGGAGGUAGUGACGAAAAAUAACAAUACGGGACUCUUUUGAGACCCCGUAAUUGGAAUGAGUACACUCUAAAUCCUUUAACGAGGAUCCAUUGGAGAGCAAGUCUGGUGCCAGCCGUCGCGGUAAUUCCAGCUCCAAUAGCGUAUAUUAAAGUUGUUGCGGUUAAAAAGCUCGUAGUUGGAUCUCAGCUCCGGCCGGGCGGUCCACCUUUCGGUGGUUACUGCUUGACGCCGAGCGUUUCGGCGGUUAUUCUUGAUGAUCUUCACCGGUUGUCUCGGGUGACCGCCAAGUUUACUUUGAAAAAAUUAGAGUGCUCAAAGCAGACGUGACGUCUGAAUAAUUGUGCAUGGAAUAAUGGAAUAGGACCUCGGUUCUAUUUUGUUGGUUUUCGGAACACGAGGUAAUGAUUAAGAGGGACAGACGGGGGCAUUCGUAUUGCGACGCUAGAGGUGAAAUUCUUGGACCGUCGCAAGACGAACUACUGCGAAAGCAUUUGCCAAGAAUGUUUCCAUUAAUCAAGAACGAAAGUUAGAGGUUCGAAGGCGAUCAGAUACCGCCCUAGUUCUAACCAUAAACGAUGCCAGCCAGCAAUCCGCCUGUGUUCCUCAAAUGACACGGCGGGCGGCUUCCGGGAAACCAAAGCUUUUGGGUUCCGGGGGAAGUAUGG
rnacentral:rRNA from 1 species